CGGCGGGUGCUAAUACAUGCAAGUCGAGCGGACAGAAGGGAGCUUGCUCCCGGAUGUUAGCGGCGGACGGGUGAGUAACACGUGGGUAACCUGCCUGUAAGACUGGGAUAACUCCGGGAAACCGGAGCUAAUACCGGAUAGUUCCUUGAACCGCAUGGUUCAAGGAUGAAAGACGGUUUCGGCUGUCACUUACAGAUGGACCCGCGGCGCAUUAGCUAGUUGGUGAGGUAACGGCUCACCAAGGCGACGAUGCGUAGCCGACCUGAGAGGGUGAUCGGCCACACUGGGACUGAGACACGGCCCAGACUCCUACGGGAGGCAGCAGUAGGGAAUCUUCCGCAAUGGACGAAAGUCUGACGGAGCAACGCCGCGUGAGUGAUGAAGGUUUUCGGAUCGUAAAGCUCUGUUGUUAGGGAAGAACAAGUGCAAGAGUAACUGCUUGCACCUUGACGGUACCUAACCAGAAAGCCACGGCUAACUACGUGCCAGCAGCCGCGGUAAUACGUAGGUGGCAAGCGUUGUCCGGAAUUAUUGGGCGUAAAGGGCUCGCAGGCGGUUUCUUAAGUCUGAUGUGAAAGCCCCCGGCUCAACCGGGGAGGGUCAUUGGAAACUGGGAAACUUGAGUGCAGAAGAGGAGAGUGGAAUUCCACGUGUAGCGGUGAAAUGCGUAAAGAUGUGGAGGAACACCAGUGGCGAAGGCGACUCUCUGGUCUGUAACUGACGCUGAGGAGCGAAAGCGUGGGGAGCGAACAGGAUUAG
rnacentral:rRNA from 1 species